rnacentral:rRNA from 1 species
GAUGAACGCUGGCGGCGUGCCUAAUACAUGCAAGUCGAGCGAAUGGAUUAAGAGCUUGCUCUUAUGAAGUUAGCGGCGGACGGGUGAGUAACACGUGGGUAACCUGCCCAUAAGACUGGGAUAACUCCGGGAAACCGGGGCUAAUACCGGAUAACAUUUUGAACCGCAUGGUUCGAAAUUGAAAGGCGGCUUCGGCUGUCACUUAUGGAUGGACCCGCGUCGCAUUAGCUAGUUGGUGAGGUAACGGCUCACCAAGGCAACGAUGCGUAGCCGACCUGCGAGGGUGAGCGGCCACACUGGGACUGAGACACGGCCCAGACUCCUACGGGAGGUAGCAGUAGGGAAUCUUCCGCAAUGGACGAAAGCCUGACGGAGCAACGCCGCGUGAGUGAUGAAGGCUUUCGGGUCGUAAAACUCUGUUGUUAGGGAAGAACAAGUGCUAGUUGAAUAAGCUGGCACCUUGACGGUACCUAACCAGAAAGCCACGGCUAACUACGUGCCAGCAGCCGCGGUAA